rnacentral:lncRNA from 1 species
UUCAAAUAAAAUUCUACUUUGUAAACGUGGAGAAAUAUCUCUCCAUUUUAACACUGAAGAACAAGUUGUGGGAAUGUCUUUGAUUGUCAACAGUGUUGUGUAAAUAGUAUCGUUGUUGUUUUGGUGUUACGAAACGUCAUUGUCAAUCAAAAGCGUGAAGGUUUAAGAGGUUUGUUAUAGCUGUGACAGUGUGUGUUAACUGAUGCUGGACUGGGAACGAAAGGUUAUAAAUAGGAAAAAUGUUUCAUUAUUUACUGAUGUUCCUGGCUCUAUGUCACUGCGCACAGGCAGCAAGCGAUUUCGACUUUGGAGACGCUCUAGCGCUUAUAUUGGGCUUGAUUAUUAGCAUGGUUGGAAUUUGCGCUUGUCUUGGUUGUUAUGCAAGGAGAAGAAGCAACAUGGAAACACUUUAAUAAUGAUGACGUUCUUAACGAGGUUUAUUGGCAUUAAAUGCAGCACAUUGUGAUUAUGGAAGAGAAAAAUGUGAUGUGAAGAAAUGAGAAGUCAUUUUUACACUUCACUCAACUUUAUGGCUUUUCUUUGUGCCUUUAAUGAAUGUGCCUGAACAGUGGAAUGAUUUAGCAGAUACUUGUGGAAAAAUUGUAAUUUCUCACCUUUGAAUACAAUUGUGUGUAGACAUGUCAGCUAUAGUUUUAAUUCUGCACAACUGGAUAUCCAGUAUUUCUUUAGUGUUAAGUUACAGUGUGCCUAGAAAUAUUGUACGCCAUGUUACAUGACAUGUGCAUUUGAUGUGAUAUAACAUUUUGAUUUUUACUUUCAAUAAAAAAUGUAAUUUGUUAAA